rnacentral:rRNA from 1 species
AGUGAACGCUAGCGGUAGGCCUAACACAUGCAAGUCGAACGGCAGCACAGUAAGAGCUUGCUCUUACGGGUGGCGAGUGGCGGACGGGUGAGGAAUACAUCGGAAUCUACUUUUUCGUGGGGGACAACGUAGGGAAACUUACGCUAAUACCGCAUACGACCUACGGGUGAAAGCAGGGGAUCUUCGGACCUUGCGCGAUUGAAUGAGCCGAUGUCGGAUUAGCUAGUUGGCGGGGUAAAGGCCCACCAAGGCGACGAUCCGUAGCUGGUCUGAGAGGAUGAUCAGCCACACUGGAACUGAGACACGGUCCAGACUCCUACGGGAGGCAGCAGUGGGGAAUAUUGGACAAUGGGCGCAAGCCUGAUCCAGCCAUACCGCGUGGGUGAAGAAGGCCUUCGGGUUGUAAAGCCCUUUUGUUGGGAAAGAAAAGCAGCAGGUUAAUACCCCGCUGUUCUGACGGUACCCAAAGAAUAAGCACCGGCUAACUUCGUG